GAUGAACGCUAGCGGCAGGCCUAAUACAUGCAAGUCGGACGGGAUUUGGGAGCUUGCUCCUAAUGAGAGUGGCGCACGGGUGCGUAACACGUAUGUAACCUACCUUAAUCAGGGGGAUAGCCUCUCGAAAGAGAGAUUAACACCGCAUAAAAUCACACUAUGGCCUCAUAGAAUGAUCAAAUAUCUAUAGGAUUAAGAUGGGCAUGCGGAACAUUAGCUAGUUGGUAAGGUAACGGCUUACCAAGGCUACGAUGUUUAGGGGAUCUGAGAGGAUGGCCCCCCACACUGGUACUGAGACACGGACCAGACUCCUACGGGAGGCAGCAGUAAGGAAUAUUGGUCAAUGGGCGGAAGCCUGAACCAGCCAUGCCGCGUGCAGGAAGACGGCCCUACGGGUUGUAAACUGCUUUUGUACGGGAAUAAACCUACUUACGUGUAAGUAGCUGAAUGUACUGUAAGAAUAAGGAUCGGCUAACUCCGUGCCAGCCGCCGCCGUAACAC
rnacentral:rRNA from 1 species